rnacentral:rRNA from 1 species
AUUGAACGCUGGCGGCAGGCCUAACACAUGCAAGUCGAACGGUAACAGGAAACAGCUUGCUGUUUCGCUGACGAGUGGCGGACGGGUGAGUAAUGUCUGGGAAACUGCCUGAUGGAGGGGGAUAACUACUGGAAACGGUAGCUAAUACCGCAUAACGUCGCAAGACCAAAGAGGGGGACCUUCGGGCCUCUUGCCAUCGGAUGUGCCCAGAUGGGAUUAGCUAGUAGGUGGGGUAACGGCUCACCUAGGCGACGAUCCCUAGCUGGUCUGAGAGGAUGACCAGCCACACUGGAACUGAGACACGGUCCAGACUCCUACGGGAGGCAGCAGUGGGGAAUAUUGCACAAUGGGCGCAAGCCUGAUGCAGCCAUGCCGCGUGUAUGAAGAAGGCCUUCGGGUUGUAAAGUACUUUCGGCGGGGAGGAAGGGAGUAAAGUUAAUACCUUUGCUCAUUGACGUUACCCGAAGAAGAAGCACCGGCUAACUCCGUG